rnacentral:lncRNA from 1 species
CUUCGAUGUGACGAGGAAUCUAAUUUUUUUUGCAAUUUUUUUUGGAACUAAACAAGACCCUAACUUAGACAAUGAAUGGACAUUGGUCUGUAGUUGAGUUGGACAUGUUGUUUUUUAACAACUAGUAGCAUUGUAGCUGGCGCGCGCCCUCGCGCGAGGGCUAAUGGUCAUGGUCAAAUUGAUGCAUGUAUGAUGCACAUGUGACAUAUUUCAUCAUUUGCAUAGGUAAGGUACCUUCACUGAUAAAUAUUUACAUUAUGAUACAGAGUUGCAGACAUAUGAUAGUGGUAUUGUUGGUCUAUGGUGUAGUAUAGGAGGUGGGGGUGAUUUAUACAGCACAGAUUUGAUGACCGGUUCAUAUUUGUAGGACGCAUACACUUUAUAGUUGUGGGACCCUCGUUGUAUCGGAGGCUGGGAGUUUUCCUUUUUUUUCCCUGGUCAAUCUGUUGCUUGGUUGCUAGAUGUCGGUGGCAAAAGGCCAUCUUUGUUUCAUCCACAUUGAGCCACUUCAGCAAU